rnacentral:rRNA from 1 species
GAUGAACGCUGGCGGCGUGCUUAACACAUGCAAGUCGAACGGUAAAGCCCUGCUUGCUUGGUGUAUUAGUGGCGAACGGGUGAGUGACACGUGAGUAAACUGCCCUCAACUCUUUGGUAAGCCUUGGAAAAUGGGUCUAUAACCGGAUAGAGGCGUCCACCGCAUGGUGGGUGGUGGGGAGAUUUAUCGGUUUUGGGUGGACUCGCGGCGUAUCAGCUUGUUGGUGUGGUAAUGGCUCACCAAGGCGACGACGGGUAGCCGGCGUGAGAGGGUGACCGGCCACACUGGGACUGAGACACGGCCCAGACUCCUACGGGAGGCAGCAGUGGGGAAUAUUGCACAAUGGGCGCAAGCCUGAUGCAGCGACGCCGCGUGAGGGAUGACGGCCUUCGGGUUGUAAACCUCUUUCGGUAGGGAAGAAGCGAAAGUGACGGUACCUGCAGAAGAAGCACCGGCUAACUACGUG